UAUGUUAAUAGUAGUAUAAACAACAUUAACCUAGUUCAUGUUGAUUUAGUUUAUCAUAACCAUUAAAGUUUAUUUUAGAAAUUGAAAAAUGGCUGAUGAAGAAGAAGAGAAAGAAUAUCGUUGGGAGACCGGUUAUGAAAAGACAUGGGAGGCAAUCAAGGAAGAUGAUCAUGGCCUUUUGGAAGCAUGAGUUGCAGAUAUUAUUCACAAUGCUUGUUGGCAACGCGGGCUAACGAG